rnacentral:lncRNA from 1 species
GUAAACCAUACUUAUUCACUUAAUAUGUAAUAUACGGAAUUAACAAAACAAAACAAUAAUCUAAGAAUAUACGUAUCUUAAAAUCUCAGUUCGUUUUGUCUGGAAGGAAUCAAUAAAAAUUUUUAGGACCUCCAAUUACAAAUUGAAAAAUAAAUCAAACUACUAUAUUCUUAUUGAUCUAUUUAACUCAAUCUAAUAAUAACAUUUUAGUACAUACUGAAUUUUAGCACUAUUGUAAAUUCUAGGUCCCAUAACAAACUUCGCACUUAACUUGCUGAUGAGUCCAAUCAGCCUGCCCAAAUAAGGAAAACCUGCCUCGUAGUUUGAGGCAUUGGAGAAAUAUGUUCUUUUGUUUUUCUCUUUGAGAAAGGUUGGACAAAUAUUUUAAUCUCGUGGAUUGAACGUAAAAUACCUCAAAGCCAAUAAAUAUGAAAUUAAUUUUUUAUAAGGUAAUAUGUGUGUCAAUAUUAGUUCGUUUAACUAUUAAAAUUUGAAUUUCUAUCUUAAAUUAAUAACUUAAUUAAUGGAUGUAAUUAACGGAGGAGGGUGUAGAUGUUAAAUUAAUAUGUUAUAGUGAGCGUUAUAGAAAAAACAUCUAUAUAAUUCAUCUCUAAAAUUGAAGAACCAUUGUACACAAGCUAUUUUGAAAACUUUCCCUUGCUCCCAGUAUGGCGAAAUUGGAUUGUUCCAUCACUUUUCUGGCACUAUUUUUCGCCGCAGGACUGCUUUUUGUACCGGCACUUUCAGAGGAUAUAGCCCCGUCACCCAAGUCCGAGCAUUGAAGUGUUGGGAUUUACAGCAUUAAAGUGUUGAGAUACCUUUCUCACAAGAAGGAGAGUCAAUUAAAUAAUUAAUGAGAAUAUCCCAAUUCGAGAAAAAAUUAUUUUGAAGAAGGGGGUUGAUGCGAGAAAAGAAUGGGGUGCAACUCACACUAAGAUCUUAUGAUAAAGAUGAUUAUAACCAAAUGGUCAAAAAAGUCAUUCCAAUCAUAAACUCUCAAGUAUUUCCCAUGAGAGAGUCAUUACUCUUGUUGGGAGAGUCGUAACUUGAUACUCAUCUCUUUUAAGACACAAGAGUCAUAUAGAUAAUAAAAGUUCUAAAGAUUUUUUAUAC